GCCUUCUUGGUGUAAUGGUCAGCACACUCGGCGCGUAUUCGAGAGGUCCGAGGUUCGAGUCCCGGCGAGGGCG
rnacentral:tRNA from 1 species